GAUGAACGCUGGCGGCGUGCCUAAUACAUGCAAGUCGAGCGAACAGACGAGGAGCUUGCUCCUCUGACGUUAGCGGCGGACGGGUGAGUAACACGUGGAUAACCUACCUAUAAGACUGGGAUAACUUCGGGAAACCGGAGCUAAUACCGGAUAAUAUAUUGAACCGCAUGGUUCAAUAGUGAAAGACGGUUUUGCUGUCACUUAUAGAUGGAUCCGCGCCGCAUUAGCUAGUUGGUAAGGUAACGGCUUACCAAGGCAACGAUGCGUAGCCGACCUGAGAGGGUGAUCGGCCACACUGGAACUGAGACACGGUCCAGACCCCUACGGGAGGCAGCAGUAGGGAAUCUUCCGCAAUGGGCGAAAGCCUGACGGAGCAACGCCGCGUGAGUGAUGAAGGUCUUCGGAUCGUAAAACUCUGUUAUUAGGGAAGAACAAAUGUGUAAGUAACUAUGCACGUCUGGACGGUACCUAAUCAGAAAGCCACGGCUAACUACGU
rnacentral:rRNA from 1 species